rnacentral:lncRNA from 1 species
GUUCAGGGUAAUUCACUGAAUAAGUGGUAGAGUCAGAAUGAAAAACUGAUACUCCUCAUUCUGUGGCCAAUGUAAAAUUACUCUAUACCAAACUCAAUUAUAGAACCAAUAUGUUUAAAAAUAUUUACUAAGUGAUUAUUUUGUGUUAAUUGUUCCUGUCUUCAAAGAAUUUGUUUUUCAGGAGGAGAGACAAUAUAUAUUAGGGAGUGAGUCAGGCAGGGAAGAGGAUUUUGAACUGGGGAGUCAAAGGGAUGGUGAGUUGGUCCUGGGACAACCCCAAUAUCUGAGUAAACCACAUCAUCUAGAUCAUAUGUAGAUGGAAUCAGGAGGAAAAUAGACACAACUUUUAGCAUCUUUUGGAAUUUUUACAUUUAAAAAAAAUUUUCAUGGCAAUGAUUAUUGAGCCAUUAGAUGUGAUAUUAUAUGGCACUUAAGAAAAGAUGAGAAAGAUGUUUGUAUCUGUCUAAAUACAUUCAGUUCAGCUCAACCAGACUUUUGUUUAUUAGUCAUCUCCCAUGUGCAAGGCUGUUGUUGUUUGUCCUUAGUUUUUAAAGACAAUCAAUGAUAUCACAUGGUAAUGUCUUGUGUGUAAAUUAGAUUUAAGUGAGGAAGAGUUGACAAAAUCAUCAGCCUUACUUUAUCUUCUAGAUUCCUUGAAGUCCAGUGGCAAGACAAAAGUCAGGAUUAUUGGUGAUGGCCUGGGAUGCAGUGGAUUACCUUGUUGUCUUUGAUGUGUUAGGUGGAGAAGGAAAUGGCAAGUCACUCCAGUAUCUUUGCCAAGAAAAUUCCAAAUGGGAUCAGGAAGAGCAAGACAGAAAUGAAAAAUGACCAAAAAACAACAUGACAUAAAAUUUGCUAAGUUCAGAGGAUAAUUUACUUUCAGAUCUAGAAUUAGAAGAGAUAUUAGAGCCCUCUAGUCCAACUCUUUCAUUUUAUUUAUCAGGAAACUGAGGUCCAGAGUGAUUAAAUGACUUGCGUUAGGUUACACUGUAGUAAACAUUAUAGCUGAGCUUUGAAUUCAGGUCUGUGAACUUCAGAGUCAAUAUUCUCAGCAAUUAUUAUUCUCCCCAUGAGUUAGAAACUUAUAACCAGUGUUGUUUCUAAAGUCCUUGACAAAGACAUUGAAUGAAGCAAUAAAGAAUUUUGUUCCAAAUUUUUUUUUCUCCA